UACAGAGGUCUCAAGCGUUGUUCGGAUUCAUUGGGCGUAAAGGGUGCGUAGGUGGCGAGGUUAGUCAGGUGUGAAAUCUCGGGGCUCAACCCCGAAACUGCACUUGAUACUGCCUUGCUAGAGUACUGGAGAGGAGAUUGGAAUUUACGGUGUAGCAGUGAAAUGCGUAGAUAUCGUAAGGAAGACCAGUGGCGAAGGCGAAUCUCUGGACAGUUACUG
rnacentral:rRNA from 1 species